UACGUAGGGAGCAAGCGUUGUCCGGAAUCAUUGGGCGUAAAGCGCGCGUAGGUGGCUUCGUAAGUCCGUUGUGAAAGUCAAAGGCUCAACCUUUGAAAGCCGAUGGAUACUGUGAAGCUAGAGUACGGAAGAGGCGAGUGGAAUUCCUGGUGUAGCGGUGGAAUGCGCAGAUAUCAGGAGGAACACCAAUAGCGAAGGCGGCUCGCUGGGACGUUACUGACACUGAGGCGCGAAAGCGUGGGGAGCGAACAGG
rnacentral:rRNA from 1 species